AUGCUAAUCUACUAAGGACAAAUGAUAUAUCGUUGAGAAAGUAAAACUCAAAAAGAUUAGAAAUUAAGCUAAAUACUGAUAAUAUUUA
rnacentral:ncRNA from 1 species